AUCCUCCCACAUCAGCCUCCUGAGCAGCUGGGAUUACAGAGAACUGUUAUUGGGGGAUGGCUAAAGACCUCCAACGGGCAUUGCUCACAUUUGUGAGCCUCUUACCUCAGGAGAACGCCCAGUUUGGAGAAAACUCCGGGAGAAUCUUUGGUUUUGAAAGGAACCAUCGUGACCAAGCACCAUCUGAAGAACAGGCAGUCCUGGUCUACCACAGUGCAAAGAAAGGAUCCAGAUGCAGUUUGUCCUCUCCAGCUGCAUAUGAGUGGCGAGGUUUCCCCAAGUGAUGGGGAAAAUGACCAAACCAGGCAGAGGAUCGACUACUCUGUUUUGAUACUCCCUUCCCCACAACAUACACACUUUUGAGUUUAUCGUUCAAAUUCCUAUUUUAAUUCCUGCCAUUUCAUGAACACCUGCGGUCAUACCAAAACUCACUGGCUCUCCCCAGCCCACACAGUGGUAUUCCCCUGGUGAGGAGAAAUGAUUGGCAGGGCAAGGCUCCGUGUUCAUGGAAAAUCCCAAUGGAACACUCCAACACCAAUGCAACGCUUCCGGGUCCAGGAGCUGUUUUGUUUGGAUGAUGGAAUCACAUCAGGAAAUGAACUAUACAGCAUUUCUGAAAAAACUGGGUCCCCAAUUUGAAAAAUCUAUGAUUUCAGUUGCACACAAACCCCUUUCCGAAUGAGGACUGUGAAGACAGGGCCCAAAGUAUCUGCAGACACACAGAAGAUGUCCAGACAGCAACUAGUAACAGAUCUGGGUGCCACUUACUGGGAUCCUGGAGCAGCUGGGCUGCGAUGGAGACCCGGCGCCGCUCACCAGUGGAAAUGCCCCCCAAGUUGUAGUUGCCAAUCAGUCGGUCUGCCACAUGACUCAGACUCAGCUCUGCCAUGAUGGCCUCCACCUGCAGGAGACACAAAUUACAGGAAGGCUAGGCGUGGCUGUGGGUGCUAUUUCAAUUCAUGGGCUGGGGAGGACAUGAAAGAGGCAGCACACCCCCCAAGAAUCCAAGGGCCACUUCCAGACUCACCACACCCUGGAGAAAGCACGUCUUUGAUAAUAAUAUGAUCCAAUUUGACUUAAAUCGUAAUAUAAUACAUGUGUCAGAUUUAAAUAAAUGAUAUGCAUUUUUUAAAAUGUUCCCAGAGGCUGGGUGCAGUGGCUCAUGCCUGUAAUCCCAACACUUUGGAAGGCUGAGGAGGGGAAUUGCUUGAGGACAGGAGUUUGAGACUAGCUUGGGGAACAAAGAGAGACCCUGUUUCUACAAAAAAA